GAUGAACGCUGGCGGCGUGCCUAAUACAUGCAAGUCGAGCGAACGGACGAGAAGCUUGCUUUUCUGAUGUUAGCGGCGGACGGGUGAGUAACACGUGGAUAACCUACCUAUAAGACUGGGAUAACUUCGGGAAACCGGAGCUAAUACCGGAUAAUAUUUUGAACCGCAUGGUUCAAAAGUGAAAGACGGUCUUGCUGUCACUUAUAGAUGGAUCCGCGCUGCAUUAGCUAGUUGGUAAGGUAACGGCUUACCAAGGCAACGAUGCAUAGCCGACCUGAGAGGGUGAUCGGCCACACUGGAACUGAGACACGGUCCAGACUCCUACGGGAGGCAGCAGUAGGGAAUCUUCCGCAAUGGGCGAAAGCCUGACGGAGCAACGCCGCGUGAGUGAUGAAGGUCUUCGGAUCGUAAAACUCUGUUAUUAGGGAAGAACAUAUGUGUAAGUAACUGUGCACAUCUUGACGGUACCUAAUCAGAAAGCCACGGCUAACUACGUGCCAGCAGCCGCGGUAAUACGUAGGUGGCAAGCGUUAUCCGGAAUUAUUGGGCGUAAAGCGCGCGUAGGCGGUUUUUUAAGUCUGAUGUGAAAGCCCACGGCUCAACCGUGGAGGGUCAUUGGAAACUGGAAAACUUGAGUGCAGAAGAGGAAAGUGGAAUUCCAUGUGUAGCGGUGAAAUGCGCAGAGAUAUGGAGGAACACCAGUGGCGAAGGCGACUUUCUGGUCUGUAACUGACGCUGAUGUGCGAAAGCGUGGGGAUCAAACAGGAUUAGAUACCCUGGUAGUCCACGCCGUAAACGAUGAGUGCUAAGUGUUAGGGGGUUUCCGCCCCUUAGUGCUGCAGCUAACGCAUUAAGCACUCCGCCUGGGGAGUACGACCGCAAGGUUGAAACUCAAAGGAAUUGACGGGGACCCGCACAAGCGGUGGAGCAUGUGGUUUAAUUCGAAGCAACGCGAAGAACCUUACCAAAUCUUGACAUCCUUUGACAACUCUAGAGAUAGAGCUUUCCCCUUCGGGGGACAAAGUGACAGGUGGUGCAUGGUUGUCGUCAGCUCGUGUCGUGAGAUGUUGGGUUAAGUCCCGCAACGAGCGCAACCCUUAAGCUUAGUUGCCAUCAUUAAGUUGGGCACUCUAAGUUGACUGCCGGUGACAAACCGGAGGAAGGUGGGGAUGACGUCAAAUCAUCAUGCCCCUUAUGAUUUGGGCUACACACGUGCUACAAUGGACAAUACAAAGGGCAGCGAAACCGUGAGGUCAAGCAAAUCCCAUAAAGUUGUUCUCAGUUCGGAUUGUAGUCUGCAACUCGACUACAUGAAGCUGGAAUCGCUAGUAAUCGUAGAUCAGCAUGCUACGGUGAAUACGUUCCCGGGUCU
rnacentral:rRNA from 1 species